rnacentral:rRNA from 1 species
GACAGAGGGUGCGAACGUGUUCGGAAUUACUGGGCGUAAAGCGCGUGUAGGCGGCAAUGCAAGUCGGGCGUGAAAUCCCACGGCUCAACCGUGGAAGUGCACUCGAAACUGCAUAGCUAGAGUCCUGGAGAGGAAGGUGGAAUGCUUGGUGUAGAGGUGAAAUUCGUAGAUAUCAAGCGGAACACCGGUGGCGAAGGCGGCCUUCUGGACAGUGACUGACGCUGAGACGCGAAAGCGUGGGGAGCAACAGG